CCCGCAGGUACUGUGGCUCUGAGUGACACUUCCUAGGACACGCUUGUGGAUCCGUACAAAGACUAAAGAUACAGCAGGAUGGGUGCUCGUGGACAUGAACACAAGUGUGUAAGUGCUGCCACUGUUGCCACCAAGACACCAUCCACCUGCUGUAUACACCAAAAAGUCCUUAGAAUCUUGGAAACAGAAAUGAAAUGACCCCAAGUCCACUAAGGUGCUGUACACAUCAGUGGCUGGUACAUGGUUUGAGCAAUCCACUUCCAGGGAGCUGGUCUCCGAGUCCUAGAAAGGGAACCAGGAAAUGCUGGGGGUGCACCUCUCCGCUUAGGAGGAGACAGACAGCCUCUCCCUCCAGAGGGACUUGGGUUGAGGCCUGACAUGAGCCAUGUCAGUUAACCCUUUCCUUCCUGGCCAAUGCACCAAGAAAUGUUGCAGAAGGAACUGGUAAGUGACACACAGAGGUGCAAAAGUGGGUAAAACAAAGGCUCCACUAUGGCCUGUAUUUAAAUGUCCACCCAAGGCCUCAUGAAGUGAUAGGGUGGGGCUUUUUGGAGGUGGCUGGAUCUAGGGAGUAUAUAAUGUUGAAAUCAAAGAUGUGAUGCUAAGCUUAAGGGUGUACUACUGCCCCUAAGGGUGGAUAACCUGGACAAGGGUAACCUGGAUAUAAGGGACAGAAAGUGGGUCAUCUAUUAUCUUUGUUGCUUGUUGCUUGGAUGCUGCUGCUACCUUAUGCCUGUCAUGAACUGAUUCUCUUCUACAAUGCCCCUCUGCCAUG